rnacentral:rRNA from 1 species
CACGAACGCGGUCGGCGUGCUUAACACAUGCAAGUCGAACGCGAACGGUUUCUUCGGAGACCUAGUAGAGUGGCGCACGGGUGAGUAACGCGUAAAUAAUCUACCCUGAUGUCUGGGAUAACCCUUCGAAAGGGGGACUAAUACCGGCUAUAUGCUACCCUGUUGGGGGUAUCAGGAAAGGUGGCCUCUUCUUGAAAGCUAUCGCAUUGGGAUGAGUUUGCGUACCAUUAGCUAGUUGGUGGGGUAAUGGCCCACCAAGGCCUCGAUGGUUAGCGGGUCUGAGAGGAUGAUCCGUCACACUGGCACUGGAACACGGGCCAGACUCCUACGGGAGGCAGCAGUGAGGAAUAUUGCGCAAUGGGGGAAACCCUGACGCAGCGACGCCGCGUGAGUGAGGAAGGCCUUCGGGUCGUAAAGCUCUGUCAGAUGGGAAGAAAUGUAUAUGAGUUAAUACCUCCUAUAUUUGACGGUACCAUCAAAGGAAGCACCGGCUAACUCCGUGCCAGCAGCCGCGGUAAUACGGAGGGUGCAAGCGUUGUUCGGAAUUAUUGGGCGUAAAGCGCGUGUAGGCGGU